UUUAUUUACAUGUUAUUGUACGUUAUGAUAUAUAAACACUCUCACGCUUCUUAUCUAAAAUUAUAAAAGAUGCAGCAAAAACACUGGAAUGCGUUUUUUUACUACUUGUCGGGUCUGUUUUAUUAUUAUGAACUACGAAGCCGGAGCUAUACACGAUGUUUUCUGUUGGAUUCAAUAUUCAUCGUUUUUUAUUAGAGUGGCUGUGCACGACGGAUGUGAUCCUCCGCGUUUUAAUAUGUGGCGGAAAACUCUGGAGAGCUCCCGUUUUGGCGGACGAACGCCGAAGUUUAACUAACCCGAACUCCAAAUAUUGCAUUGUGUGAAAUUGAGUUGGGGUACACGGGUGACAG